ACCCUAAUCAACACAAUUUCAUCAAAUUGAAGGGGCAAAUCAAGUCCAAAUCAAAAUCCGAGUAUGAAUUAGUGAUCUCCAUUGAAAAAGGAGUCAUGAGUUUGACGCUUGACAAGCUAGGUGGAGGCUUGGAAAGGAAGCGGGUCAAACGAAGCAAGAAUGGCGGAAAAGCAUAAUUCGGAUGCAAGGUACACCUUGGAUGCCGGAAGACGAUCAAGCUCAACGAAGAACCGAACACGAUAUAGAUACACGCUUCCACACUUUGCCAUGUUGUGAAUCACCUAGGGUCAAAACCAUUAAAACAUUAGUUUUGACUUUGAUACAUAAGGAUUAAACAUAUG